rnacentral:tRNA from 1 species
CAAAAAAUAGUUUAAUUAAAAAUUAUAAUUUUGGAGAUUAUUGAUAAAUAAUAUUUUUUUUUGA